rnacentral:rRNA from 1 species
UACGGAGGGGGCUAGCGUUGUUCGGAAUUACUGGGCGUAAAGCGCACGUAGGCGGCUUUGUAAGUUAGAGGUGAAAGCCCGGGGCUCAACUCCAGAACUGCCUUUGAUACUGGAGAGCUUGAGUCCGGGAGAGGUGAGUGGAACUCCGAGUGUAGAGGUGAAAUUCGUAGAUAUUCGGAAGAACACCAGUGGCGAAGGCGGCUCACUGGCCCGGUACUGACGCUGAUGUGCGAAAGCGUGGGGAGCAAACAGG